rnacentral:rRNA from 1 species
UACGUAGGUGGCAAGCGUUGUCCGGAUUUACUGGGCGUAAAGAGCGCGCAGGCGGUCGUUCAAGUCGCGUGUGAAAGCCCCCGGCUCAACUGGGGAGGGUCACGCGAUACUGAUCGACUCGAAGGCAGGAGAGGGUAGUGGAAUUCCUGGUGUAGUGGUGAAAUGCGUAGAUAUCGGGAGGAACACCAGUGGCGAAGGCAGGUCUCUGGGCCACUACUGACGCUGAGGAGCGAAAGCCAGGGGAGCAAACGGG